AAAAGAGUGAGGAGAAGCCCCCAACGCUCUUGAAGCCUCAGCCCAGGCCUGUCACCUCUACUUAGCUUACUAUCAGUGAGGUGAGGAAAUAUACAUCACCUUCUGUGGAAAGAACGUCAAAGUCAUACAGCUAAAGACGUGGAGACAGGGAAGGCUUGGCAGGCUCUAGAGAGACUGACCUCUGCAGAUGGUUUAAAGGGAGAAGCAUGAGGGUGGGUUCACAGUUCACAGGGCUGCCAAUCAGGCCUGUGAAGAAAACUCAACAGUCUAAAAGAAUAUAGGGAGACAGAACCCAACCUAGAAGAAAUGGACAAAUUCCCAGACACAUCAAGGAAUUCCUAGACAACCUAUCAAAACUGAAUCAUGAUUAGAUAGAAAAUCUGAACAGACCAAUAUAAGUAAAGAGAUUAAAGCAGUAAUAA